CCUACGGGAGGCAGCAGUGAGGAAUAUUGGUCAAUGGACGAGAGUCUGAACCAGCCAAGUAGCGUGAAGGAUGACUGCCCUAUGGGUUGUAAACUUCUUUUAUAUGGGAAUAAAACGUUCCACGUGUGGGAUUUUGUAUGUACCAUAUGAAUAAGGAUCGGCUAACUCCGUGCCAGCAGCCGCGGUAAUACGGAGGAUCCGAGCGUUAUCCGGAUUUAUUGGGUUAAAAGGGAGCGUAGGUGGAUUGUUAAGUCAGUUGUGAAAGUUUGCGGCUCAACCGUAAAAUUGCAGUUGAAACUGGCAGUCUUGAGUACAGUAGAGGUGGGCGGAAUUCGUGGUGUAGCGGUGAAAUGCUUAGAUAUCACGAAGAACUCCGAUUGCGAAGGCAGUUCACUGGACUGCAACUGACACUGAGGCUCGAAAGUGUGGGUAUCAAACAGGAUUAGAUACCCUUGUAGUC
rnacentral:rRNA from 1 species